GACGAACGCUGGCGGCGUGCUUAACACAUGCAAGUCGAACGGAAAGGCCCUGCUUUUGUGGGGUGCUCGAGUGGCGAACGUGUGAGUAACACGUGAGUAACCUGCCCUUCACUUUGGUAUAACUUCAGGGAACUGUGUCUAAUACCGGAUAUGCGCUCCUGCUUCAUGGUGGGGGUUGGAUAGUUUCGUCGGUUGGGGAUGGACUCGCGGCUUAUCAGGUUGUUGGUGGGUUAGUGGCUUACCAAGGCUUUGACGGGUAGCCGGCCUGAGAGGGUGACCGGCCACAUGGGGACGGAGAUACGGCCAAGACUCCUACGGGAGGCGGAAGUGGGGAAUAUUGCAAAAUGGGCGGAAGCCUGAGGCAGGAAGGCCGCGUGGGGGAUGAGGGCCUUCGGGUUGUAAACCGCUUUCGCCUGUGACGAAGCGUGAGUGACGGUAAUGGGUAAAGAAGCACCGGCUAACUACGUG
rnacentral:rRNA from 1 species